AUACGAAGGGGGCUAGCGUUGCUCGGAAUGACUGGGCGUAAAGGGCGUGUAGGCGGUUUACUACAGUCAGAUGUGAAAUCCCCGGGCUUAACCUGGGAGCUGCAUUUGAUACGUGUAGACUAGAGUGUGAGAGAGGGUUGUGGAAUUCCCAGUGUAGAGGUGAAAUUCGUAGAUAUUGGGAAGAACACCGGUGGCGAAGGCGGCAACCUGGCUCAUGACUGACGUCUGAGGCGCGAAAGCGUGGGGAGC
rnacentral:rRNA from 1 species